AUUUAAUUCUCAUUAAGACAUAAGACUGGAUAAUAUAGGCACCGUGUCUAAAUUCAAGUAAGAAGCAAGUGAUAACUACAAACCCAUCUUGUUCUUUCCUGGGUCUUCCUUAAGCUUCUUCCUUCCCCUAGUUCUGCAGUAUUUUUUCAUUUAAUUUUGUUCAGCCUUAAACAAGGAGCAUGCCCUGCAGACUGGACAGUGUUAGUAGAGAGAUGCAGUGGGUUGUUCUUGGCUAUUUCCAACACAUGUGUGUGGCAUCUGAUCCCUCUAGAUAUGGAGCUAUUCAGUGGAUUGGAUUGAUGGACUCUGAGGCACCCUUCGUUUCUGACAAACACUCACUAGUGUGCCUCAGCUCUACAAAUGUCCUCUCCUCUUCCUGCGGUUUGUUAGUGUACUGAACUGACACCUUACAUGCAAUGUGAUGUAGAAUUUGCCCUUUCCUGGCCCCUCAUCAGAAUUUUCAUCAGAAUCAAGGGGGAAAGCUUGAUUGGAGCUGCAAGGCAAAUACAUUUUAAAUUGGAAAUUUGAUUCUGCAUUUUUAAUUGCAUGAACAACAAUGUGCUAGAGUGAUUUAGAAAGGUUCAUAACUUGGUCCACUCGACACACUUGUUUACUGAAUAAUUUAAAAUCUAAUUUUACAUAUGAAAAUUUAGAAGUUAGAUUUAAAUUCAUAGCCUUUCUCUGUCUCUGUCUCUGCCCUUUUCUCUUUGAACCAAAUGAAACCAAACCAACUCUACAAAAUGAUCACGUUAGUAUUUUGA
rnacentral:lncRNA from 1 species